rnacentral:snoRNA from 1 species
AAACCAUGAUGUGAGCAACGCUUCAGUAAAUCCUUAUAUCUAUCCCAAGCUUCAUAUAAUGUCUCACCAUUAAACUAUAUGAACGAAGUGAUAUCGUUUCUCAUCAU